rnacentral:misc_RNA from 1 species
UGGCUCUCGCAUCGAUGAAGAACGCAGCGAAAUGCGAUAAGUAAUGUGAAUUGCAGAAUUCAGUGAAUCAUCGAAUCUUUGAACGCACCUUGCGCCUCUUGGUAUUCCGAGAGGCAUGCCUGUUUGAGUGUCGUUAAACAAUCAAACUCUAUUAUUAGAGGUUGGACUUGGAGUGUGCCGGGGAAACCUAGCUCCUCUUGAAAUGCAUGAGUGGAUCUCUGCGGCCAGAAAGCUCCAGCGUGAUAAUUAUCUACGUUGCAGUGAGAAGGACGCAUGGCCCGCUUCCAACCGUCGCCCCUGUGCGACAGGGGCUUUUGCCCCUAUCUCUUAACGUUUGACCUCAAAUCAGGUAGGACUACCCGCUGA